AUUGAACGCUGGCGGCAGGCCUAACACAUGCAAGUCGAGCGCGAAAGGCUUUCGGGCUGAGUAGAGCGGCGGACGGGUGAGUAACGCGUAGGAAUCUACCUGGUAGUGGGGGACAACUUGGGGAAACUCAAGCUAAUACCGCAUACGCCCUAUGGGGGAAAGCGGGGGACCUUCGGGCCUCGCGCUAUCAGAUGAGCCUGCGUAGGAUUAGCUAGUUGGUGAGGUAAAGGCUCACCAAGGCGACGAUCCUUAGCUGGUCUGAGAGGAUGAUCAGCCACACUGGGACUGAGACACGGCCCAGACUCCUACGGGAGGCAGCAGUGGGGAAUAUUGCGCAAUGGGGGCAACCCUGACGCAGCCAUGCCGCGUGUGUGAAGAAGGCCUUCGGGUUGUAAAGCACUUUAAGUGGGGAGAAAAGGGUAGCGGUU
rnacentral:rRNA from 1 species